GAAACUUGAGUUUAUUUUGCCCCUAGAGUUCGAUUUAUUUACAAGAAUGCCAUAAUGGCAAACUUGUAAAUAAAUGAAACAUCAAACUAAUAUCUAGAUAUUUCUCUAGACAAACUUGAUGCCCAAGUUUCUUAAUCUUCUUCUUCAUUUUUGCUAGACAUAUUCAUUCACCAUUUGAGAUAUCCAUUGCCAAGCUCUCAACUAAAACACAACCUCCAUUUCUUUUCAUUUUUUCAUCAAAUUUCCUUAACAAAAAUCAUUGCAAUUUUUCCGUAGAUUAAUAAUCUACCAAUGCAUGUAGGAUCAAGGAUCGUUACCUGUCUUUUUGGACGAGACUUCACUUUGUUUGCUUCUCGAAGUCUCCUUGUUUGAAUUGUGGUAUUUUGUUCAGUAGCGCUACAAUAGUAGUUAUCCGCAGUAGACUAGUAUAGUCUUGUUGUAUACAAAUGUUAGCGCAUUUAAACUCUGAUGUUUUGUCCCAUCAUUUAUUUACUAAAUGUUUCAUACAUUUCUAUUUUUAAAGCGAAAAAUUUAUAGUGUUUUUCAGGCUUGCUACGGGUUUCGGAGCAAUCACUCCCAUUCCCUAGCGCCGGUCUCGACUCGAGAUUUCGGGUCGUCACAACAAACCUUGAAAAAUAAAUUGAGUUGUAUUCAGAAUGUCCUCAUGUUAUCUUCUACAGCAAGGAGCACGCAAAAUAAAUAAUGUCAAAUACCUAUAAAGGUUGUGUCAGGUUGUGAAAAUUCUUUGAAAAUUGUUUGCACCAAGGUGUAAAUUAAUAUAAAUGUUUAUAUUAAUUUAUAGCUGCCAAAAUUAUAAAAUAAAUUCUUUCUCUUA